GCCAUGGUGGUGCAAUGGUUAAGCACUCAGCUCCUAACCAAAAGGUUGGUGGUUUGAACCCACUCAGUGGCU
rnacentral:tRNA from 1 species